AUAAAAUACAAGUUUGAACCCAACCAGAAUGGAGAAAAAAAAAGAAUGUAAGUGCCACAUUUUCAAGAUGAAGGCAUCUUCAUACGUCCUCUAGUGAUUUGUUGAAAAUUGCUGGUCCACUGGGUUCCAGUUCUGAAUCUCCAUGGAUUUGGCUUCUUCCACUGCAUCUGUUGCUGUCGGUGCCUUGGGCUGCUAGUUGUGUUCCCUGCAUGCAUUCCUGAAUAGUUUUUGCAAUGCUGCAUACUCGAGUCAGGGGAGACUGUUGCCAUGGAGGGGGUGUAGCUUGGUUGGUUGGUUGGCUGGCAUGUGUCGCGGUAAUAACCACACGAAUGCAUGGAGCCAACAUUUCCCUGUAUGAAUUUUUAGACUGAAACAAGAUGAGCAGUUUAAUUCCCUUCACCUGUAAGUGCUUUUGAUGUUGUGGCUUAUCGAAUUUAUGUAUUAACAUAUUUCCCUGGGAGGCUGCAUGAAAACACUCUUAUUGCUCUUAAAGGUAUUAAAAAAAAAAAUCCUGUGUACACAUAACCAAAACUUGCAGUUAGCAAAAUAUCUUAGUCAACCUGCUGAAUGUCCAGUUCCCGCACUAAUGUGCCGGUUAUUUGAUGAAGUAAAAUUUUGCUGCGUAAAUUACACCCUCCUGAUUAAACCCCACCUACACCUAAUAAACAAGAACAGCAGUUUUCUGUUCCAGAGCAAUAUAUAGCAAAAACUGCCUGAUGAAUAGAAAGUGCUCCCUGCAUGGUAAUAAAAUUGCAGUAUUUUUUUUUUUUUUUGACGCAUCU